UUAAGUUAUUAAGGGCGCACGGUGGAUGCCUUGGCACUAGAAGCCGAUGAAGGACGUUACUAACGACGAUAUGCUUUGGGGAGCUGUAAGUAAGCUUUGAUCCAGAGAUUUCCGAAUGGGGAAACCCAGCAUGAGUUAUGUCAUGUUAUCGAUAUAUGAAUACAUAGCAUAUCAGAAGGCACACCCGGAGAACUGAAACAUCUUAGUACCCGGAGGAAGAGAAAGAAAAUUCGAUUCCCUUAGUAGCGGCGAGCGAAACGGGAAGAGCCCAAACCAACAAGCUUGCUUGUUGGGGUUGUAGGACACUCUAUACGGAGUUACAAAGGACGACAUUAGACGAAUCAUCUGGAAAGAUGAAUCAAAGAAGGUAAUAAUCCUGUAGUCGAAAAUGUUGUCUCUCUUGAGUGGAUCCUGAGUACGACGGAGCACGUGAAAUUCCGUCGGAAUCUGGGAGGACCAUCUCCUAAGGCUAAAUACUCUCUAGUGACCGAUAGUGAACCAGUACCGUGAGGGAAAGGUGAAAAGCACCCCGGAAGGGGAGUGAAAUAGAACCUGAAACCGUGUGCUUACAAGUAGUCAGAGCCCGUUAAUGGGUGAUGGCGUGCCUUUUGUAGAAUGAACCGGCGAGUUACGAUUUGAUGCAAGGUUAAGCAGUAAAUGUGGAGCCGUAGCGAAAGCGAGUCUGAAUAGGGCGUUUAGUAUUUGGUCGUAGACCCGAAACCAGGUGAUCUACCCUUGGUCAGGUUGAAGUUCAGGUAACACUGAAUGGAGGACCGAACCGACUUACGUUGAAAAGUGAGCGGAUGAACUGAGGGUAGCGGAGAAAUUCCAAUCGAACCUGGAGAUAGCUGGUUCUCUCCGAAAUAGCUUUAGGGCUAGCCUCAAGUGAUGAUUAUUGGAGGUAGAGCACUGUUUGGACGAGGGGCCCCUCUCGGGUUACCGAAUUCAGACAAACUCCGAAUGCCAAUUAAUUUAACUUGGGAGUCAGAACAUGGGUGAUAAGGUCCGUGUUCGAAAGGGAAACAGCCCAGACCACCAGCUAAGGUCCCAAAAUAUAUGUUAAGUGGAAAAGGAUGUGGCGUUGCCCAGACAACUAGGAUGUUGGCUUAGAAGCAGCCAUCAUUUAAAGAGUGCGUAAUAGCUCACUAGUCGAGUGACACUGCGCCGAAAAUGUACCGGGGCUAAACAUAUUACCGAAGCUGUGGAUUGUCCUUUGGACAAUGGUAGGAGAGCGUUCUAAGGGCGUUGAAGCAUGAUCGUAAGGACAUGUGGAGCGCUUAGAAGUGAGAAUGCCGGUGUGAGUAGCGAAAGACGGGUGAGAAUCCCGUCCACCGAUUGACUAAGGUUUCCAGAGGAAGGCUCGUCCGCUCUGGGUUAGUCGGGUCCUAAGCUGAGGCCGACAGGCGUAGGCGAUGGAUAACAGGUUGAUAUUCCUGUACCACCUAUAAUCGUUUUAAUCGAUGAGGGGACGCAGUAGGAUAGGCGAAGCGUGCGAUUGGAUUGCACGUCUAAGCAGUAAGGCUGAGUAUUAGGCAAAUCCGGUACUCGUUAAGGCUGAGCUGUGAUGGGGAGAAGACAUUGUGUCUUCGAGUCGUUGAUUUCACACUGCCGAGAAAAGCCUCUAGAUAGAAAAUAGGUGCCCGUACCGCAAACCGACACAGGUAGUCAAGAUGAGAAUUCUAAGGUGAGCGAGCGAACUCUCGUUAAGGAACUCGGCAAAAUGACCCCGUAACUUCGGGAGAAGGGGUGCUCUUUAGGGUUAACGCCCAGAAGAGCCGCAGUGAAUAGGCCCAAGCGACUGUUUAUCAAAAACACAGGUCUCUGCUAAACCGUAAGGUGAUGUAUAGGGGCUGACGCCUGCCCGGUGCUGGAAGGUUAAGAGGAGUGGUUAGCUUCUGCGAAGCUACGAAUCGAAGCCCCAGUAAACGGCGGCCGUAACUAUAACGGUCCUAAGGUAGCGAAAUUCCUUGUCGGGUAAGUUCCGACCCGCACGAAAGGCGUAACGAUUUGGGCACUGUCUCAACGAGAGACUCGGUGAAAUCAUAGUACCUGUGAAGAUGCAGGUUACCCGCGACAGGACGGAAAGACCCCGUGGAGCUUUACUGUAGCCUGAUAUUGAAAUUCGGCACAGCUUGUACAGGAUAGGUAGGAGCCUUUGAAACGUGAGCGCUAGCUUACGUGGAGGCGCUGGUGGGAUACUACCCUAGCUGUGUUGGCUUUCUAACCCGCACCACUUAUCGUGGUGGGAGACAGUGUCAGGCGGGCAGUUUGACUGGGGCGGUCGCCUCCUAAAAGGUAACGGAGGCGCUCAAAGGUUCCCUCAGAAUGGUUGGAAAUCAUUCAUAGAGUGUAAAGGCAUAAGGGAGCUUGACUGCGAGACCUACAAGUCGAGCAGGGUCGAAAGACGGACUUAGUGAUCCGGUGGUUCCGCAUGGAAGGGCCAUCGCUCAACGGAUAAAAGCUACCCCGGGGAUAACAGGCUUAUCUCCCCCAAGAGUUCACAUCGACGGGGAGGUUUGGCACCUCGAUGUCGGCUCAUCGCAUCCUGGGGCUGUAGUCGGUCCCAAGGGUUGGGCUGUUCGCCCAUUAAAGCGGUACGCGAGCUGGGUUCAGAACGUCGUGAGACAGUUCGGUCCCUAUCCGUCGUGGGCGUAGGAAAUUUGAGAGGAGCUGUCCUUAGUACGAGAGGACCGGGAUGGACAUACCUCUGGUGUACCAGUUGUCGUGCCAACGGCAUAGCUGGGUAGCUAUGUGUGGACGGGAUAAGUGCUGAAAGCAUCUAAGCAUGAAGCCCCCCUCAAGAUGAGAUUUCCCAACUUCGGUUAUAAGAUCCCUCAAAGAUGAUGAGGUUAAUAGGUUCGAGGUGGAAGCAUGGUGACAUGUGGAGCUGACGAAUACUAAUCGAUCGAAGACUUAAUCAA
rnacentral:rRNA from 1 species